GCUCUCCUAGGUGAACUGCUUACGCUAACGACCUCCACCUGCCCGGGUUUGUAAUCGGAGUUUGCUCUCCUAGAUGAACUGCUUUCGCUAACGACCUCCACCUGCCCGGGUUUGUAAUCGGAGUUUGCUCUCCUAGAUGAACUGCUUUCGCUAACGACCUCCACCUGCCCGGGUUUAUUGUUCGGAGUUUGCUCUCCUAGGUGAAUUGCCUACCACGGCUAACGAACCUCACCUGCCCGGGUUUGUUGUUCGGAGUUUGCUCUCCUAGGCAUAUUGCCUACCACGGCUAACGAGCCCCACCUGCCCGGCGUUGUAGCCGAAAGAUCUCCGGCACCUCCGUCGGGGUCCCGAUGGACGCCGAGGCGCCCUGCCGGGGGCCCUCCAGUCCUGCCAUGCUCGCCUGGGAGACCUUGGGCUCGCUGGCGCUCCACCGCCCCGCCGAUUCGAAUAGGGCGGAUGCAAGAACUCGCUUCUUAAAACUACCAGACUGGAUUAUAAAAUUAAUCAUAAAUGCCGUGAAGGCGCCGGUCACCGCGUUUAUCGGUUCUUGGAGGAAGGACCGAUGGGCCUCGGGGACGCGCACAAGCAUCAUAAGGAAUCCUCGCCGCGGCUUCCGGCGCAGCAUCCUUUUCCCUUUUCUUUCUUACUUCCAAUUUUUCUUUUUAAUUAUAUUUUCUUUCUCUGAUUGACUGAUUGAUUGAUUUUACA